rnacentral:tRNA from 1 species
AGCAGCGUGGCUUAGUGGUUAAAGCGCAGGCCUGGAAGUCCGAAAGACCCGCGUUCUUAUCCCGGCUCUGCCA